UUAAGUUCAGCGGGUAUCCCUACCUGAUCCGAGGUCAACCUUGAUAAAUUGGGGGUUGUUGGCAGGCACAACACCUGGAAACUCCUGAGCGAGAAAAGUUACUACGCUUGAAGCCAGAUGGCACCGCCACUGAUUUUAAGACGCACCCAGAUGGUGACGCCCAAUACCAAGCAGAGCUUGAGGGUUGUAAUGACGCUCGA
rnacentral:misc_RNA from 1 species